rnacentral:rRNA from 1 species
GGGAACUCCAUGUGUAGCGAGGGAUGCGUAGAUAUUGAAGAACACCAGUGGCGAAGCGGCUCUCUGGUCUGCAACUGACGCUGAGCUCGAAAGCAUGGGUAGCGAACAGGAUUAGAUACCCUGGUAGUCCAUGCUGUAAACGAUGAGCGCUAGGUGUUGGGACUUCCGGUCCUCAGUGCCGCAGCAAACGCAUUAAGCGCUCCGCCUGGGGAGUACGACCGCAAGGUUGAAACUCAAAGGAAUUGACGGGGGCCCGC